rnacentral:rRNA from 1 species
AUACGGUGAAACCGCGAAUGGCUCAUUACAACAGCCACUGUUUACUUGAUCUUGAUUAUCCUACUUGGAUAACUGUGGUAAUUCUAGAGCUAAUACAUGCAACCAAGCUCCGACCGUAAGGGACGAGCGCAUUUAUUAGAACAAAACCAAUCGGGCUUCGGCCUGAGGUUUGGUGAAUCUGAAUAACUGAGCUGAUCGCAUGGUCUUUGUACCGGCGACGCAUCUUUCAAGUGUCUGCCUUAUCAACUUUCGAUGGUAGUUUAUGUGCCUACCAUGGUUGUAACGGGUAACGGAGAAUAAGGGUUCGACUCCGGAGAGGGAGCCUGAGAAACGGCUACCACAUCCAAGGAAGGCAGCAGGCGCGCAAAUUACCCACUCUCGGCACGAGGAGGUAGUGACGAAAAAUAACGAGGCGGUUCUCUAAGAGGCCCGCUAUCGGAAUGGGUACAAUUUAAA